rnacentral:tmRNA from 1 species
GGGAAUGCAACGGUUUCGACGGGAAGAAAGAUGGUUAUAACUGCAUAUAGUGUUCCUGCCAGCACUUUAAAAAGGUAGAAAACAACAAACAACAAUAACGUAGAGAAUAACUACGCUAUGGCUGCUUAAUAAAAUAAGCAACCUCGCUUUAACUGAUCCCGCUUAUCGGAAUUGUUAAGGCGUCAAAUUAGAUAAGAUAGUCUAAAGAAUCGUCUGAGUUUUUUAGAUGAAACUAAAUCAGGAUAGCAAUUACUUUGGUUAGUCUUUCGACCGGAGUUUUGUGAAAUUUUAAAGUAGAGACUAUAUAUGUAGACGUUUUAAUGGUCUUCUUUUCGGACCCGAGUUCGACUCUCGGCAUUUCCACUU